GAAAGGAAAUAUUCGGUAAAAGAUGGGCCCGCAUCUGAUUAGCUAGUUGGUGAGAUAACAGCCCACCAAGGCGACGAUCAGUAGCCGACCUGAGAGGGUGACCGGCCACAUUGGGACUGAGACACGGCCCAAACUCCUACGGGAGGCAGCAGUGGGGAAUAUUGCACAAUGGGGGGAACCCUGAUGCAGCAACGCCGCGUGAAGGAAGACGGUUUUCGGAUUGUAAACUUCUAUCAAUAGGGAAGAAAGAAAUGACGGUACCUAAAUAAGAAGCCCCGGCUAACUACGUGCCAGCAGCCGCGGUAAUACGUAGGGGGCAAGCGUUAUCCGGAAUUACUGGGUGUAAAGGGAGAGUAGGCGGCAAGGUAAGCGAUAUGUGAAAGCCUUAGGCUUAACCUGAGGAUUGCAUAACGAACUAUCUAGCUAGAGUACAGGAGAGGAAGGCGGAAUUCCUAGUGUAGCGGUGAAAUGCGUAGAUAUUAGGAAGAACACCAGUGGCGAAGGCGGCUUUCUGGACUGAAACUGACGCUGAGGCUCGAAAGCGUGGGGAGCGAACAGGAUUAGAUACCCUGGUAGUCCACGCUGUAAACGAUGAGUGCUAGGUGUCGGGGAGGAAUCCUCG
rnacentral:rRNA from 1 species